UAUGAACGCUGGCGGCGUGCCUAAUACAUGCAAGUCGAGCGAACAGACGAGGAGCUUGCUCCUUUGACGUUAGCGGCGGACGGGUGAGUAACACGUGGGUAACCUACCUAUAAGACUGGGAUAACUUCGGGAAACCGGAGCUAAUACCGGAUAAUAUUUCGAACCGCAUGGUUCGAUAGUGAAAGAUGGCUUUGCUAUCACUUAUAGAUGGACCUGCGCCGUAUUAGCUAGUUGGUAAGGUAACGGCUUACCAAGGCAACGAUACGUAGCCGACCUGAGAGGGUGAUCGGCCACACUGGAACUGAGACACGGUCCAGACUCCUACGGGAGGCAGCAGUAGGGAAUCUUCCGCAAUGGGCGAAAGCCUGACGGAGCAACGCCGCGUGAGUGAUGAAGGUCUUCGGAUCGUAAAACUCUGUUAUUAGGGAAGAACAAACGUGUAAGUAACUGUGCACGUCUUGACGGUACCUAAUCAGAAAGCCACGGCUAACUACGUG
rnacentral:rRNA from 1 species